GCUAAAUAUGGUAAAGCAUCUGCCUGCAAUGCAGGAGACCCAGGUUCAAUCCCUGG
rnacentral:tRNA from 1 species